AAACAGCGCCAUCGAGAGCGUGACAGCAGCAGACCGCGGCAGACGGAAGCUCUUUAUCGGCUCUUGAGCGCUUGAGCUGUGGGCAGAUUAUCCUCCUCUCACCGCGCUCAAGAGCAACCUAGCGGAUACAGACACGGGCAGAUGGUGAACAGCGGCGCCCUGAAAAAAGCGCAAUUGUUCUUUCAAUGGGGCUCAUUGUCUUUUAUCCCCGUUGUGAGGCGACAGUGAGGGGUGAAACAAAAGACCUUGAACCCGAAGCACCUGCUCAUGGACACGAGAUUAAACCCAGGGCUGAUUGUAUUGGGAUCCCAGGGGCGCGUCACGCCUGAUCAAAUGAUGCGGCAAGCGUGAGGCCGUGAACGCGCACCAAUGGAGCCAAUGCACAUGGAAAUGAGUCCUAACGACCAAUAUGAGAUUCGCGAAGAAAAAAAAAGGGCAGCAUGUAAGAUUAAGGAACUAGAGUGGGGGGAGGGGAGCAGUGGAACAGUGCCAGAUGGAGAGCCAUGAAUUAGAGAUGAAAGAGGAUUUUUCUUUUUUUGGGUGAGGUUCAUGCAAUGAGAUAAUGUUUGCAUGUUAUGCGCGAUGCCUGACGCUGUACUGAUGCAAAAUCAAGUGUUGGGGCAAAAUAUCUGGCCCAUUGCCUAGGCUGAGAGUGCCUGCUGGUCUUCUGCAUUCCCAUUGGACAGACUCUGAAUUUCCAGAGUAACUUUACAAACAGGCUUCUAGCAAAAUAUUUUACUUAUACCACAUGAAACAAGAAUAAAUCUAUAACAAUACACUGUAAUAAUACUAAUUAAAAAAAAUAAAUAAAUCCAGAAACUAGUUUAACAAUUUUAAAUCAGGUUCUCCAUAUUUAAGCAGCAAAAUAAACUGUCAUUUUUUUGGACCCAAAUAAUUUGCAUUCAAAUUGCAUUUAUUAAUUAGAAAAAGAAUAAGAUUCUCAGUGCCUAGAAAUCUCAAUUUUAAUACUGCCUUUUUUUUUUGCAUGACUGCAGCGAACCUGUCAGACAAAGGUACGUCAGUGUGAAGAGAGCAAGAAAGUUGAAAGAUUAAUGUUAACAUGAGGUAUCAGUUUUGUCAUGCAGACAAAUGUCUAGAUGGAGCUUUUACACAAUGAAUUUUGGCACUGUCGAGAAUAAAUGCUGAUAGAUCAUGCUGUUUUACAGGUUUUUUUUUUUUUAUUUAGACAACCCAAAUAAAAGGCACAUAAACAUUGCGCAUGUUUACAUAAUUAUUUCUGACAAACUUACAUUUAAAAAAAAUGUAGGAAUGUUUUUCUUUCUGCUACUCAGAAAGCCUAGUCUUCAUAUAUACAAAAUUACCAUUGUUAAUGUACUAAUACAAAAGUUUUAUAAAAGGUUAUUUUGCUUUUCUUUGCUCACAUUGUCUAUCUGUACUCUAAGAUCUUCUGAGCUAAACACUUCUGUACAAACAUAUACAUUCAACCGCUUUCACAGGGGCUCCGAAAAUCAUCCAGUUCAUCAACUGAAUCAAAACAACAACAUUAGACUCAAUUCGAAAAUGUUCACUUCAUUGGAUUUCAUAAUUGGUUUCAAUUUGGCAAAUAAAAGAGGCAAUUGUAAUGCAUCUACCAUGAAAUGCAUAAACGUGCAUUCUCACUCUCCCACAAACUAAACUAUGGAAACAUGCUUUUGUUUGUUCUAGUGUGACGGGAGAGAAUCAAACGCCUCACACAAGCACACAAACACACACGGAUCAGCGAUUCAUUGUGUCUGAUCAGGAAAAAGCUUCCCCUUCCUGAGACUCAGUGCUGGGGUGGACGGCAUCCAUUUAGACACUCCAGAUCGUCACAUCACAGGCUGUGGUGGGAAAACUACCCACAAAAAAUUGCAUACAAGUCAAAUAAUUAGUGUUUUCACUACAGCAGUCUCCUCUCUGGCAUCUGCUCCAUGCACAGGAAGCAUGUAGAGGAAGUGGCCGAAAUAAUGUACCUACAUUUUCUCACAUUGGUGGCAGAUCUGUGUAGCGAGUGACGGCUCACUCUUCCUACUUAUACUGUUGUGUUUUAUUAACACAAAAUGAUUAAACUCCACACAGACCAGCAAGCAGUGUAGAAAUUUCCAGAGCCAGUCAGCAUUCUCCAUUAUUUCAGACUGAAGACGUGCUUUUAUGUUAAAUGGUGCUUCUGGGCUUUAGCUACAGUAAAAUACUAUCAUCUACCGAGUCCAAACUACUGGAGCCAAAUAAAAUGAGCAGGAUGGUGCUGCUGUUGAAAUAACACAUAAAACAACAAAAAAAAACAUUAAAUUAACAAAAAAAACAAAACAAACUAAAACAAAACAAAAAACUAGAGAAAACAAUAAAAAAAAACCAAAAAAACCUUAAAACAAAAUCAGCCUAAAACAAAGAAAAUCUAAAACAAAACAGAAAACGUACAGAAGAAACAUAAAAAAAAAACAUAAAAUUUUUUUUUUAAACAAAAACAAAAUCCCCAAAAAUCAAAGGGAAAUAUUUACAAACGUGAAUAAUUCCAUAGCACUUUCCUGGAAUUAUUCAUGUUCAUUUCCUAUUCUCAGCCCAUUUCCUUUGUAGAACAUGUUUUCAGAACAGGGAUCUUGAAAACAUCAUAUAAAAAUACAAAAAACAAGAUUAUAAAAUACUUUUAACAGGCAAAAGUCCAAAUGAAAACUUUAAAGGGCAUCAGCGCGGUACUCCAAUCAACUGAUGGCGCUGUUAUAAAUGAGGUGGUUACCUUCAGCUCAUAAACCCCGUCCUAAAUGACACACUUGGCCCUUACGGUCCACACUUUGGUGAAGAAAUGCUGCACAGACUGUAGAGUAUUAGUCUGCUGUGAAGUCCGCACCACUGUGCAAAGGGGGCGCUCUUGAGCACCUUUCUCUAUAAUAAAAUGACAAAUGGGAUACUCAUGAACUUUGUAGAUCUGCACAAACAAAGGCCAUGGGAUAGUAGUAAUGACAUCAAGUGCACCAUUUAGGACACACCUUGAUAUUCAUAUGAAGAUAAUACUGCCUCUUUAGACUUGGGAUAUGCUUUCAGUGCAAGACUCUCAUUCCUUUCUCCAAAAGCUUUCCUCUGUAAGCAAAAAAAAAACAUGCGACAACUAAUAAUGGCCAUGUAAACAAUAAAAAAAACUAAGCUGCCCUCCCCUCGUAAAAACUGACAAGUAGUAAACAGUGUCAUGACGAACACCAUUAAUUAAAAAAAAAAAAAAAAAAAAAAAAAAA